ACAAGCGGUGGAGCAUGUGGUUUAAUUCGACGCAACGCGAAGAACCUUACCAGGGCUUGACAUCCCCUGACCGCGUAUGAAAGUACGUUUUCACCCUCGGGUGACAGGGAGACAGGUGGUGCAUGGUUGUCGUCAGCUCGUGUCGUGAGAUGUUGGGUUAAGUCCCGCAACGAGCGCAACCCCUACGGUUAGUUGCUAACGGGUAAGGCCGAGCACUUUAGCCGAACUGCCGUUGACAAAACGGAGGAAGGCGGGGAUGACGUCAAAUCAUCAUGCCCUUUAUGUCCUGGGCUACACACGUGCUACAAUGGCCUGUACAAAGGGCAGCAAAGGGGCGACCCGGAGCAAAUCCCAAAAAACAGGUCUCAGUUCGGAUUGCAGGCUGCAACUCGCCUGCAUGAAGGCGGAAUCGCUAGUAAUCGCAGGUCAGCAUACUGCGGUGAAUACGUUCCCGGGCCUU
rnacentral:rRNA from 1 species